UACGUAGGGGGCAAGCGUUGUCCGGAAUCAUUGGGCGUAAAGAGCGCGUAGGCGGUCCGGUAAGUCCGCUGUGAAAGUCAAGGGCUCAACCCUUGAAUGCCGGUGGAUACUGCCGGGCUAGAGUCCGGAAGAGGCGAGUGGAAUUCCUGGUGUAGCGGUGAAAUGCGCAGAUAUCAGGAGGAACACCAAUGGCGAAGGCAGCUCGCUGGGACGUGACUGACGCUGAGACGCGAAAGCGUGGGGAGCAAACAGG
rnacentral:rRNA from 1 species